rnacentral:misc_RNA from 1 species
GAUGAAGAACGUAGCGAAAUGCGAUACGUAGUGUGAAUUGCAGAAUUCCGUGAACCAUCGAAUCUUUGAACGCAAAUUGCGCCUGCGGAUUCGUCCAAAGGCAUGUCUGCCUCAGCGUCGGCGCACCUCUCUCGCCCCCUUUUCCUUGUUUUCACGAGCAAGCGGUCUUGGGGCGUGGACCUGGCCCUCUCGGCGCGGUCUGCUUUGUCACCGAAGCAGUUCCGGCGCCGUGUUGGCUGAAACGCAGAGGCUUGAGCAGCGACCUCGUGUUGUCACGACACCUGGGCGACGGCUUGGUAGGUCGGGCUUGUCCCACACCCCGCCGCCGCCUUGUGGUCCUGCUGGGAGCCGCGCAGGAAAUUUCAUUUUAAAUUUCGACCUGAGCUCAGGCAAGGCUACCCGCUGAACUUAAGCAUAUCAAUAAGCGGAGGA